AUUUCUAUAUUUAUUUAUUUAGACACUGUAUUCUCAAGAGCCUGUGAACAACAGGGUAUUUGUUACGUGACAUUCUGGGAUUCAGUCUGUGAACCAGAUAAUUUUGUGGUUCAGGGCCGUUGUAAUCCCUCAUAAUGAUUCAAAGUGUCUUCAGAAA